rnacentral:rRNA from 1 species
AGUGAGCGCUGGCGGUAGGCCUAACACAUGCAAGUCGAACGGCAGCACAGUAAGAGCUUGCUCUUACGGGUGGCGAGUGGCGGACGGGUGGGGAAUACAUCGGAAUCUACUUUUUCGUGGGGGAUAACGUAGGGAAACUUACGCUAAUACCGCAUACGACCUACGGGUGAAAGCAGGGGAUCUUCGGACCUUGCGCGAUUGAAUGAGCCGAUGUCGGAUUAGCUAGUUGGCGGGGUAACGGCCCACCAAGGCGCCGAUCCGUAGCGGGUCUGAGAGGAUGAUCAGCCACACUGGAACUGAGACACGGUCCAGACUCCUACGGGAGGCAGCAGUGGGGAAUAUUGGACAAUGGGCGCAAGCCUGAUCCAGCCAUACCGUGUGGGUGAAGAAGGCCUUCGGGUUGUAAAGCCCUUUUGUUGGGAAAGAAAAGCAGCAGGUUAAUACCCCGCUGUUCUGACGGUACCCAAAGAAUAAGCACCGGCUAACUUCGUG